GACAGAGGUGCCAAGCGUUAGGCGGAAUCACUGGGCUUAAAGCGUGUGUAGGCGGAUUGCUAAGUACCUUGUGAAAUCCCACGGCUCAACCGUGGAACUGCUUGGUAUACUGGUUAUCUUGAGCCACUCAGGGGCGAGCGGAACAAAUGGUGGAGCGGUGAAAUGCGCAGAUAUCAUUUGGAACACCAAUGGUGAAAACAGCUCGCUGGGGGUGUGCUGACGCUGAGACACGAAAGCCAGGGGAGCGAACGGG
rnacentral:rRNA from 1 species